GCUUCACUGCAAAUUAGAUCCCCUGGAAAGAAACAGAGAGCCAGAACGGAUCCGACCUCUCUGCCGUUUCUGGGAGCGAGCUCGUAUUCUUCCCUGCCCUCCUCGCCUUGCCUCUGACAACUUUUCCACACUCUGGGAGCUCCUUAUCUUCACCAAUACUUGGAUUUGUGUAUGUGUAUGUUGGGAACCAUUUAUGUGGCUGAGUGACUGAAAUAAUUUGAAGUCUGUUUUUGCUAGAACCUGAUCACCACCUGUUUGAGUGAAGAAACUGAGGACUGUUUGAAACUUCCUUGGACAUUAAUAGGUUGACUGCUAUGUCGCUGAACUUAGUGCAUGGAAGGUCAGCCUUUGAAAAGCUAAAUAAGGUGAAGAGGAUGUAGAAAAUAGACCUUAUAUGGAAAACUGUGAACCCUAUGGUGGCAUCUGUAGUAAAGGAUCAUUUUGUGGGAGCAAUACCAACCUACUUCCUCUGAACAUUUGAGCAGAAGGGGGAGCUUCUCAGGACUUUUUCCCUUGGAAAAAAAAAAGGAUUAACUCUGACCAAGGUCAGAGCAACUAGUCACCAAUAUUCUUCACGGGUGAGUCUGGCCUCCUGCACCCCUGGAAAAUAUCACCUGAAACAUCGACCUACGCACCGGACUUGAACAGGGAAUCUUGCAGUGUCAGAAACAGAUUAAUGAAUCCGUGAGCAAUACAAGGACAAUCGAUGACAAAACUUGUCUGAGGCAUCUGAAGGAGUGAGGAAACAGAUCUAAGUGUGGAAGACCCCAUGGACCCCCCAGGGAAUUUAUCCCAGUACUUUGCCAGUAAGGACAUCAGCUAAUAUCCAAGCAGGCUCUUCCUUGUCCAGUUUUGGAUUGCCAUGAUGAGGAUGGAAGACACCCCACUGCCUUCCUCUUUCUCUUGCAGUGGGAGGAAGAAGACAAGACUACACCGGUGUGGAACAGCAGUGCUGAAUGACCUUAGCAAGGAGUUCUGCUCCUGCAGCCCGAUUGCCACUGAGCUCAGAGGAAAGGAGUUUGCUCAGCCCAACAUCCAGGAGUUCACUGACAUUCCCAAGGCAGGAGGGUGGACUCACUGAACCAACCAGUCCUGCUCUGGCAUGUGCACAAAAUCCCCCACCCUAGCAACAAAGAUGACAGCCUGGUAACAGCAGCUGCUGCUUAGUGGAAAACAUUGGAAAAAUAACUUGUUCUAGAUCUGUGUUCCCUCUUUGCAAUUUCCUAUUUAUCAUUAAAAAAAAAAAAAGUGUUCUAAGAAAACCCACCAUCCAGAACUUUAAAAAGCUUUAAGGUGUGAGGGUCAGACACACAGGUGCACAGGCAAAGAGCUGAGCUCCAAAAGCCAGGAAAAAUGUGACCCUGUAUUUCCAACACACGUUGUCUUUUUUAGCCAAAGCUAAAUUGUUUUCCACUGAACAAGUGGGCCUGUCUUGUGGGAGUGGGGUAUAUGUGCAACUAUUUAUUCUUGCACCAAAUGUGAAGGAAGGCCAAACAUGACCAAAUGUGUGUUAAAUUCCAAGUCAGCAUUUUUUGGUUAUUACUGUUUGAAGUAUCCCUGUUUCUGCUCAAAGCCGGGCUCACUGGAUAGGAAUUAGUAUCCUAACAAAAGCAAACCACUGCCUCUGGUAAAAUCUUCCCCUUUUUAUUUUUUAAUAAAAGCAAACUCCAGUUUCUCUUUUUUUCUUCUGUUGCAAAUGUUCUUGAAAAUUCCAAUGAAGACAUAAAGACAACUCUAAAGCAGCUUCCCCUGGUAAAAACCAAAUCAGAGUAAUGCUACAUCACCAUGUGAAAUAACAAAUUAGGUGGAGAGACAUUAACUAGUGCCAUUCAUCAGCCUGAAGUGAUACAAUUUAUUACAGGAUAAUAAUGACCAUAGUUGUAUAAGUAGUAAAGGUAAAAUUACAUCAUGACUUGCAUUAGCAGUAUGAGAUUAUAUCCUGAUUAAUGCACAAUUAACUUGUCACGGGUACAACACAUGUGUUUGUAGGUGGCCAGAUGGGUUACACCAUGUCUUAUGCUCACAUAUGUAACAUUUAUCACUUUCUCCUAACUUUCUCCUAUAUCUCCAGAAAUUAGAUGGCUACAUCCACUAAAAUCUUUAGACAUCUCACUGCCUUAAUGCAGAGCCAUCUAAAGUCACAAUACGACUAAGAGACCUUUAGAGGUGAGCACUGGGAAAUCUUAAACAUGUGCAUGAGUCCUGUUCUUUUCCAUAGAUUGGGAAUCUCAUCCGUAGUUCCAGGGAGACACCUCCAAGGUGAGAGCAACAACUUUAACUGCUCUUCUACUAGCAGGCACCAGUCACCUGAACUGCUUUCAGAGCUGUAUAUCACAGCUCCUACUCCCAAGAGAAAGCUCCCAACACUCUAAAAUGUACAUGAAGAAUUCCUUUACUCCUUUUUAAUUCUAAUUUUGCAGGAGAAAUAAUUAAGCUACAGGGCCAGGUGAGAAGGAUUAUUACUUUUAAUUGCAAUUACUGAUGGAGGUGCUUCAGCUUCGCCUGAACUCCUCUUUAGAUGCAGAACUGGGUAAUUUGUCCAUGUGCUGACAUGCAGGUUUGCCUGUCCAUACUCUCCCUCCCUCUGUUAUUUUUUUUUUGUGUUGAGUGUGUGUGUGUGUGUGUGAUUGCACAUCUGGGUGUGUGCAAACGUGUAUAAAGUAGCAAGGUAGUUGAAGGGAAACAAAAGGCCUCCGAGUUUUAAUCUCUGUUCUGUCACAAAGUUGGUGUUUGUCUUUGAGAAGCUCAUUUUAAUUUAUUUCUCUUACAGGUUUCUCAAUGGGAAGUGGGGAGGAGGGAUAUUACGUUGUUGUGCAAGCCCACCUCACACUGUACAUGAUAUUCACUUAGCUGUUUGAAGUUACAAAUUGCUGAAUGAUGACAGAACAUAACUUCUUAAAAUAAAUGGCAUCAGAUUUUUUUUUUUGCACACUUUUUAGUACUGAAAUCUACCAGAAAAGGUUGUCUGACUUUGAUCCUUCCUGUGCUUUAUUUUCAUGUUUGAUGGUACCCUCUGGUUCCAACAACAAAUGAUGGUCAUUUUCCAGCAGUUUCAAUAUAGAAGCAAAAGCUUUUAUAAUAAGGAAAAAAUCUAAUCAUUUUGUUGUCUAGAAAUGUCUUUUCCAGCUGACAAUAUUGAGUACUUGGAUAUAGGGCAACCAGCAUUUGGGAAAUGCAGAUUUUGAGUCCCAGUUGUGCACAUCAUUGGUGUUCAAUGUUUGGAUUCAACUAUUAGAAUAAUUUUAUAUUCUUCAGAAUUACUUCUGCUGAAUAGAAUUUAGCAGAGUAUAAAUAUUGUUUGAAGUCUGCAUGGCUACAAAAUACCCUGUUUGUUAGCAAAUGAGUUCCUAGGAAACAUGCUUGUAUCAAACAGUUCCAGGACAGACAGUGCAGUUCAUCAUUUCCAUCCAUGAGGUUUUUGAUUCUGGGAUGAUUAGCUAAGUUUAUAUUGAGACUAUGUAGCUAAGAUUAUUUUAGAUUAUAUUUCUCCUGUCUAGAGUAGACAUUUGACUCUGUACUCUAUAAGGAGCCUACCUUUGUCAUUAGAAAUUCACUUUAUUAUGACCUAGUCUCCAUUUUCAGGAUAUCCUGUUGAUGCUACAAAGAACUAGCCAAGACUUCGUUUACGCAAGUAAAAAUGAAAACUGACAUCAGCAUCUAUUUGAGAUUUAAGCUGUGAUAUAACAAAAUUCAAAUAAGUUUUUAUAUUAGCAUUAAGUCUGUGUUUGAGUGCACACUAGGCCUUAGACCAGAAUCUGGUGUGUUCCCUUGAAAAUGUAACUAAAAAUUCAUUUAUUAUUAAAAAUAAAAUCG